rnacentral:rRNA from 1 species
GGGUGCGAUCAUACCAGCACUAAUGCACCGGAUCCCAUCAGAACUUCGCAGUUAAACGUGCUUGGGCGAGAGUAGUACUAGGAUGGGUGACCUCCUGGGAAGUCCUCGUGUUGCACCCC